GCCUCAAAUGUCCUGGAGCAUAUAGUACUUGACCGAAGCGCGGAGCCGACUAAUCUGCCGUUAGCACUUUUAAAACACAUCACUGAGGAUUUCAAUGAUAAGCAACAAAUUGGCUGUGGUGGAUUUGGAAUUGUUUACAAGGGCGAUCUUCAAAACAGUAGUGUUGCUGUUAAAAGGAUUUUAAACUACCAUACAAUCAACGAUGAAUCAUUUAAUCGUGAGACUACUUCUCUAAUCAGUGUA